UCGGAAGGAACCAGCUACUAUGCCUGACACUCAGUCUUGCAUAGGCUGCUCGAGAGGCGAAAUAAGCAUGAUGGUGUGAUCCUUGUUAUUCUCUUCGGAGGCACCGCGGCAUUACCGAGCUGCUUCCUCUGCCUUAAUUGACACUGAUGCUGAGACUGAGCAUAAUUGCUGGUACCCGAAAGAUGGUGAACUAUACUUGGGCAAGACGAAGCCAGCUAGCAGGAAACUCUGGUGGAGGUCUGUAGCGAUUCUGACGUGCAACUAGGUCCAUGCUGAGUAUAGGGGCGAAAGACUACAUUUCUAGUAGCUGAUUCCUUCCGA
rnacentral:rRNA from 1 species